rnacentral:hammerhead_ribozyme from 1 species
GUACUAAUGAAUAGUCCUAACUAGGACGAAACAGCUGUCUAGUAC